GACGAACGCUGGCGGCGUGCUUAACACAUGCAAGUCGUACGGUAAGGCCCUUUCGGGGGUACACGAGUGGCGAACGGGUGAGUAACACGUGAGUAACCUGCCCACAACUUUGGGAUAACGCUAGGAAACUGGUGCUAAUACUGGAUAUGUGCUCCUGCUGCAUGGUGGGGGUUGGAAAGCUCCGGCGGUUGUGGAUGGACUCGCGGCCUAUCAGCUUGUUGGUGGGGUAGUGGCCUACCAAGGCGGCGACGGGUAGCCGGCCUGAGAGGGUGACCGGCCACAUUGGGACUGAGAUACGGCCCAGACUCCUACGGGAGGCAGCAGUGGGGAAUAUUGCACAAUGGGCGCAAGCCGGAUGCAGCAACGCCGCGGGCGGGAUGACGGCCUUCGGGUUGUAAACCGCUUUCAGCAGGGACGAAGCUUUUUGUGACGGUACCUGCAGAAGAAGCACCGGCUAACUACGUG
rnacentral:rRNA from 1 species